AUCACUUUUUGGCCUUUUGGCUAAGAUCCAGUGUAGUAUCUGUUCUUAUCAGUUUACUAUCUGAUGCAUCAUCUAUCUGAGGACAAUAUAUUAAAUGGAUUUUCAGAGCAGGGAGAUGAAAUAGGAGCUUGCUCUGUCUACUCUGCACAUCGACCUGGUACAGCAGGACCUCCAAGAAUGGUGCAAUGCUC